GAUGAACGCUGGCGGCGUGCCUAAUACAUGCAAGUCGAGCGAACAGACGAGGAGCUUGCUCCUUUGACGUUAGCGGCGGACGGGUGAGUAACACGUGGGUAACCUACCUAUAAGACUGGGAUAACUUCGGGAAACCGGAGCUAAUACCGGAUAAUAUUUCGAACCGCAUGGUUCGAUAGUGAAAGAUGGCUUUGCUAUCACUUAUAGAUGGACCUGCGCCGUAUUAGCUAGUUGGUAAGGUAACGGCUUACCAAGGCAACGACACGUAGCCGACCUGUGAGGGUGAUCGGCCACACUUGACCUGUGACGCGCUCCAGACCCCUACGAGGGGCAGCAGUAGGGAAUUCUACGAGAUGGACGAGAUCCUGACUGAGCAACUCGACGUGAGUGAUGAAGGACUUCGAAACGUAAAACUUUCUUCUUGGGGCAAAACAAGCGUUAAGGUAACUGUUACCGUCAUGGCCGAACUUAUCCGGAAGGCCUCGACAAGCUUAAU
rnacentral:rRNA from 1 species